UAUAAACAACUAAAAAUAACAAGGUUAUACCUUUUCACUUGUUUAUAUUAUAUCAAAUAUAUAUAACAACUUGAUGCUGCUUCACGAAAGGCUUAACGAAUAGGAUCGGAGUUGUCAAAUAGCUAUAGAGACUAGAGAGCUAUGCUCGGAGUUUCUCUAUGGGAUCGAAUCAAAAAUGAGGAGAUAGAGAUAAAAGGAUUAGCUUGAAGUGGCAGUGAGCAGGUCAUAUAGCAAUAAGAUGGCCGUUGAUGCCGAAAAGUUCUCGUAUGGAGACCACGGAUCGAAAAAUGCAGCGUUGGACGUCUAAAAACGAGAUGGAUGGAUGGGUGGAUAUAACAACUCGGUGGAAUAUAGUAAAAUAGGUCGCUCAACUCUGGCCGCUCUGAGUCCACCAAACCCUCAACCAGCUGUUGCAGAACCCCGGAGUAUUCGUGACCUGAACCGCUCUCGCAUGGACGGAGUACUGAUGUGAACCUAGAAUUAUAUCGUAGGUUAGGAUUCAUGUUACUUAUAGUUAGGAAAAAUUCAAUAAUUUUCUAAUAAUAUUUUGUGCGAUUUAAAAAACUAAGUUUUUCUCCCAAUUCACUCUUAAAUUUGGUAGUAAGUUCAGAUUUAAAAAGUAUAUACUAAUUUAUAAGGAAUAAAUAGUGUACCAAUAAUCAAUAUGUUAAUGUAUUAAAUGCAUAUUUCACAGGAGAAUUGUUUAUUGAAUCAGUUUGAAAGGAAUUUUUAUUUUAUUUUCGGACUUUAAAACAAAAAACCGACACAACGAGAAUGCAAACAAAAUUAAUUACUUAAUAAUUUGUUGUUAUUUUUAAAGGAUAAAAAAAGAGGUUCCAUAUUUACGAUUCGGAUUGUUUUAAUAUUUACAGAUAAUUAAGAACUUUUUUUAAUAUUUAAUAACAUAAUUAAUUAACGACUAUCCUCUUGUAAAUCACAUCCGAAUAGACUUACUAUAUAAUGAAUAAAAUCUACUUACUUA